GACGAACCGUGCGAACGUUAUUCGGAAUCACUGGGCUUAAAGCGCGUGUAGGCGGCCCGGCACGUCCGUCGCUGAAAUCCCCCGCUCAACCGGGGAAGUGGCGUGGAUACGACCGGGCUGGAGGGGGGUAGGGGGAGCCGGAACUUCCGGUGGAGCGGUGAAAUGCGUUGAGAUCGGAAGGAACGCCCGUGGCGAAAGCGGGCUCCUGGACCCCACCUGACGCUGAGACGCGAAAGCCAGGGGAGCGAACGGG
rnacentral:rRNA from 1 species